rnacentral:lncRNA from 1 species
GGGUAGUUGCUUAAGCCAAAGAAUCGAGGUCUCAUCAUAAAUUCAAGCACAUUCUAAAAUGGUUCCACCUUAUUCGAGAGAUAGUCGAAAGACACGAUAUGAUCGUGGAGCGAGUUGACAUCAAGAAUAAUAUAGCAGAUCUGUUCACUAUGGUCUUGUCAUUGUAGUAGUUUGACUACCAUCUAGAUAGCAUGAGCAUCAAGUAUAGGGGUGAUUGGUUUUAGUGCAAGUGGGAGAUUAAAAGAAU